GCCUCGGUGGUGAAAUUGGUAGACGCGCAAGGUCGAGAGCCUUGUUCUUCGGAGUGCAGGUUCAAGUCCUGCUCGGGGCACCA
rnacentral:tRNA from 1 species